CCUACGGGGGGCAGCAGUAGGGAAUCUUCCACAAUGGGCGAAAGCCUGAUGGAGCAAAGCCGCGUGGGUGAAGAAGGUCUUCGGAUCGUAAAACCCUGUUGUUAGAGAAGAAAGUGCGUGAGAGUAACUGUUCACGUUUCGACGGUAUCUAACCAGAAAGCCACGGCUAACUACGUGCCAGCAGCCGCGGGAAUACGUAGGUGGCAAGCGUUAUCCGGAUUUAUUGGGCGUAAAGGGAACGCAGGCGGUCUUUUAAGUCUGAUGUGAAAGCCUUCGGCUUAACCGGAGUAGUGCAUUGGAAACUGGGAGACGUGAGUGCAGAAGAGGAGGGUGGAACUCCAUGUGUAGCGGUGAAAUGCGUAGAUAUAUGGAAGAACACCAGUGGCGAAAGCGGCUCUCUGGUCUGUAACUGACGCUGAGGUUCGAAAGCGUGGGUAGCAAACAGGAUUAGAUACCCUUGUAGUC
rnacentral:rRNA from 1 species